CCCUUAGAUGUUCUGGGCCGCACGCGCGCUACACUGACGAAUGCAACGAGCUUAUAACCUUGGCCGAAAGGUCUGGGUAAUCUCCAAAUUUCGUCGUGAUGGGGAUAGAUUACUGCAAUUAUUAAUCUUCAACGAGGAAUGCCUAGUAAGCGCAAGUCAUCAGCUUGCGUUGAUUACGUCCCUGCCCUUUGUACACACCGCCCGUCGCUCCUACCGAUUGAAUGGUCCGGUGAAGCGUUCGGACCGUGGCCUUUGGACGGUUCGCCGUCUGUUGGCUGCGGGAAGUUCGUUAAACCUUAUCAUUUAGAGGAAGGAGAAGUCGUAACA
rnacentral:rRNA from 1 species